UACGUAGGGGGCAAGCGUUAUCCGGAUUUACUGGGUGUAAAGGGGGCGUAGACGGCCAGACAAGUCUGAAGUGAAAAUCCAGCGCUUAACGUUGGAAGUGCUUUGGAAACUGCCGGGCUAGAGUGCAGGAGGGGCAGGCGGAAUUCCUAGUGUAGCGGUGAAAUGCGUAGAUAUUAGGAGGAACACCAGUGGCGAAGGCGGCCUGCUGGACUGCAGCUGACGUUGAGGCUCGAAGGCGUGGGGAGCAAACAGG
rnacentral:rRNA from 1 species